rnacentral:rRNA from 1 species
GCAAGUCGAGCGGUAAGGCCCUUCGGGGUACACGAGCGGCGGACGGCUGAGUAACACGUAGGAACGUACCCCAAAGUGAGGGAUAAGCACCAGAAAUGGUGUCUAAUACCGCAUGUGCUCUAAGGAGUAAAGCUCCGGCGCUUUGGGAACGGCCUGCGCAUGAUUAGCUAGAUGGUGAGGUAAUGGCUCACCAUGGCGACGAUCAUUAGCUGGUCUGAGAGGAUGAUCAGCCAGACUGGGACUGAGACACGGCCCAGACUCCUACGGGAGGCAGCAGUAGGGAAUUUUCCACAAUGGGCGAAAGCCUGAUGGAGCAACGCCGCGUGCAGGAUGAAUGCCUUCGGGUUGUAAACUGCUUUUAUAUGUGACGAAUAUGACGGUAGCAUAUGAAUAAGGAUCGGCUAACUCCGUGCCAGCAGCCGCGGUCAUACGGAGGAUCCAAGCGUUAUCCGGAAUUACUGUUUCGUAAAGAGUUGCGUAGGCGGCAUAGUAAGCAGAUAGUGAAAGCGUGUGGCUCAACCAUACUCACAUUAUCUGAACUGCUAAGCUAGAGGACGAGAGAGGUCACUGGAAUUCCUAGUGUAGGAGUGAAAUCCGUAGAUAUUAGGAGGAACACCAAUGGCGUAGGCAGGUGACUGGCUCGUUCCUGACGCUCAGGCACGAAAGCGUGGGGAGCAAACGGGAUUAGAUACCCCGGUAGUCCACGCCGUAAACGAUGGAUGCUAGCUGUUAGAGGUAUCGACCCCUCUAGUAGCGAAGCUAACGCGUUAAGCAUCCCGCCUGUGGAGUACGGUCGC